ensembl:lncRNA
AGGAUUUUCUACGGCCUAGAAUCGAGACCUUUUGCAGUCAUGAAGGACAAAGGUAGGCCCCUCUUGGUUCUCAUUGGCGAAGACUGAAGUCAAGUUAAGGCAGUUGUGGAAAAAGUACCCAAUUGUCAUACUUGAGUAAAAGUAAAGAGGGGUGGAGGGAGAGGAGAGGGUGGAGGGAGAGAAGAGUGGUGGGGGAGAGGAGAGUGGCAGAGGGAGAGGAGAGUGGUGGAAGGAGAGGAGAGUGGUCAAGGGAGAGGAGAGUUGCGGAGGGAGAGGAGAGUGGUGGAAAGAGAGGAGAGUGGUGGAGGGAAAGGAGAGGAGAGUGGUCAAGGGAGAGAAGAGUUGCGGAGGGAGAGGAGAGUGGUGGAAAGAGAGGAGAGUGGUGGAGGGAGAGGAGAGGAGAGUGGUCAAGGGAGAGGAGAGGAGAGGAGAGUGGUCAAGGGAGAGGAGAGGAGAGUGGUCAAGGGAGAGGAGAGGAGAGUGGUCAAGGGAGAGGAGAGGAGAGUGGUCAAGGGAGAGGAGAGUGGUAGAGGGAGAGGAGAGUGGUGGAGGGAGAAGAGAGGAGAGUAGUCAAGGGAGAGGAGCGUGGUAGAGGGAGAGGAGAGUGGUGGAGGGAGUGGAGAGUGGAAAAGGGAGAGGAUAGUGGCGGAGGGAGAGGAGAGUGGUGGAAGGAGAGGAGAGUGGUGGAGGGAGAGGAGAGGAGAGUGGUCAAGGGAGAGUAGAGUGGUCAAGGGAGAGGAGAGUGGUGUAGGGAGAGGAAAGGGGAGUGGUGGAGGGAGAGUAGAGUGGUCAAGGGAGAGGAGAGGAGAGUGGUCAAGGGAGAGGAGAGUGGUCAAGGGAGAGGAGAGUGAUGGAGGGAGUGGAGAGUGGUAGAGGGAGAGGAGAGUGGUGGAGGGAGAGGAGAGGAGAGUGGUGGAAGGAGAGGAGAGUGGUGGAGGGAGAGGAGAGGAGAGUGGUCAAGGGAGAGUAGAGUGGUCAAGGGAGAGGAGAGUGGUGUAGGGAGAGGAAAUGAGAGUGGUGGAGGGAGAGUAGAGUGGUCAAGGGAGAUGAGAGGAGAGUGG